GACUGUCUGACCGCUCAUGUUCCUCGCUCUGUUGGACUCUGUUGGUGCUACGUCCACCUGCAGAUCUGAGAGUCCAAUUUGUGUGACUUCACCGCGGUGAGGGCCAACGGCUGCUCCUGGGCGAGAGACUGCAUCCUGCACCUCCACUUCCUGUUAAAGACACACAAAGGAGUGAUGAAGACAGGAGAAGAAGAGGCGCUCGUGCCACCGGUGUGAUGCCUCUAGAGGAACAGAUGGUUGGAGCGUGCGCCCUGCUCCAUUAAUCUGCCAAAGAAGAGGCUUUUCCAAAGCGCGCACGACAAAGGAUUAACCCCCCUCGUUUUACGCACACAGGCGCGCACUUGUGCAUGAGCCCGCAGCCAUGAGACAGCAGAGGACUGUUUUUUUUGUUUUGGCUAUACACUCAUAAACGAGUCUCUGGUUGCAGGAAA